rnacentral:rRNA from 1 species
CAGUAGCCGCGGUAAUACGAAGGUCCCGAGCGUUGUUCGGAAUCACUGGGCGUAAAGGGAGCGUAGGCGGCGUGGUAAGUCAGAUGUGAAAUCCCGGGGCUCAACCCCGGAACUGCAUCCGAUACUGCCAUGCUAGAGGAUUGGAGAGGUAGCUGGAAUUCUUGGUGUAGCAGUGAAAUGCGUGGAGAUCAAGAGGAACACUCGUGGCGAAAGCGAGCUACUGGACAAUAACUGACGCUGAGGCUCGAAGGCCAGGGUAGCGAAAGGGAUUAGAUACCCCCGUAGUCCCUGUCUCUUAUAC